rnacentral:lncRNA from 1 species
GUACUUACCCUGUAUGUAGGUGGCGUUGCAGGGUGUUUCGGUCUCGUGAAAAUUAUUUCUCAUUUGUAAAGAUAUGCUAUUGAUCCUACAGAAAGGUCCUCAGAUCCCUGACCCCCUAGGUGAAGUGGAGACAGCCCAAGGCAGCAACCUCUGGCCGGCAUGCCUCCCAAGUGCUGCCGUGUCAUCUGCACCAAGAAGGGUAAGUGGGGGUCCAGGCCGU